rnacentral:rRNA from 1 species
AGAGUUUGAUCCUGGCUCAGGAUUAACGCUAGCGGCAGGCCUAAUACAUGCAAGUCGAACGGUAACAGGUGUAGCAAUACAUGCUGACGAGUGGCGCACGGGUGCGUAACACGUAUGCAACCUACCUAUAACUGGGGAAUAGCCUUCCGAAAGGAAGAUUAACACCGCAUAACAUCAUUCUACGGCAUCGUGGAAUGAUCAAACCUCCGGGGGUUAUAGAUGGGCAUGCGUAACAUUAGCUAGUUGGUGAGGUAACGGCUCACCAAGGCUACGAUGUUUAGGGGGUCUGAGAGGAUGAUCCCCCACACUGGUACUGAGACACGGACCAGACUCCUACGGGAGGCAGCAGUAAGGAAUAUUGGACAAUGGGGGCAACCCUGAUCCAGCCAUGCCGCGUGAAGGAUGACGGCCCUCUGGGUUGUAAACUUCUUUUGUACGGGAAUAAACCCCUCUACGUGUAGAGGGUUGAAUGUACCGUAAGAAUAAGGAUCGGCUAACUUCGUGCCAGCAGCCGCGGUAAUACGAAGGAUCCAAGCGUUAUCCGGAUUUAUUGGGUUUAAAGGGUGCGUAGGCGGGCUAUUAAGUCAGUGGUGAAAGCCCCAAGCUUAACUUGGGAAUUGCCAUUGAUACUGAUGGUCUUGAGUACACUUGAGGUGGGCGGAAUGUGUCAUGUAGCGGUGAAAUGCUUAGAUAUGACACAGAACACCGAUUGCGAAGGCAGCUCACUAAAUUGUAACUGACGCUGAGGCACGAAAGCGUGGGGAUCAAACAGGAUUAGAUACCCUGGUAGUCCACGCCCUAAACGAUGAUUACUCGAUGUGUGCAAUACACCGUACGCGUCUGAGCGAAAGCAUUAAGUAAUCCACCUGGGGAGUACGACCGCAAGGUUGAAACUCAAAGGAAUUGACGGGGGCCCGCACAAGCGGAGGAGCAUGUGGUUUAAUUCGAUGAUACGCGAGGAACCUUACCAGGGCUUGAAAGUUAAGGAAUGAUGUAGAAAUAUGUCAGUCAGCAAUGACCUAAAACUAGGUGCUGCAUGGCUGUCGUCAGCUCGUGCCGUGAGGUGUUGGGUUAAGUCCCGCAACGAGCGCAACCCCUAUCAUUAGUUGCCAACAGGUAAAGCUGGGGACUCUAAUGAGACUGCCCGCGUAAGCGGUGAGGAAGGUGGGGAUGACGUCAAGUCAUCACGGCCCUUACGUCCUGGGCUACACACGUGCUACAAUGGCCGGUACAGAGGGCAGCUACUUGGUAACAAGAUGCUAAUCCUUAAAGCCGGUCUCAGUUCGGAUUGAGGUCUGCAACUCGACCUCAUGAAGCUGGAUUCGCUAGUAAUCGCAUAUCAGCUAUGAUGCGGUGAAUACGUUCCCGGGCCUUGUACACACCGCCCGUCAAGCCAUGGAAGUUGGGGGUACCUGAAGUCGAUCACCGCAGGGAGUCGCCUAGGGUAAAACCAAUGACUGGGGCUAAGUCGUAACAAGGUA